rnacentral:rRNA from 1 species
CACGAAGGGUGCAAGCGUUACUCGGAAUUACUGGGCGUAAAGCGUGCGUAGGUGGUUCGUUAAGUCUGAUGUGAAAGCCCUGGGCUCAACCUGGGAAUGGCAUUGGAAACUGGCGACCUAGAGUGCGGUAGAGGGUAGUGGAAUUCCCGGUGUAGCAGUGAAAUGCGUAGAGAUCGGGAGGAACAUCUGUGGCGAAGGCGACUGCCUGGACCAGCACUGACACUGAGGCACGAAAGCGUGGGGAGCAAACAGG